rnacentral:rRNA from 1 species
GUGAACGCUGGCGGUAGGCCUAACACAUGCAAGUCGAACGGCAGCACAGUAAGAGCUUGCUCUUACGGGUGGCGAGUGGCGGACGGGUGAGGAAUACAUCGGAAUCUACUUUUUCGUGGGGGAUAACGUAGGGAAACUUACGCUAAUACCGCAUACGACCUACGGGUGAAAGCAGGGGAUCUUCGGACCUUGCGCGAUUGAAUGAGCCGAUGUCGGAUUAGCUAGUUGGCGGGGUAAAGGCCCACCAAGGCGACGAUCCGUAGCUGGUCUGAGAGGAUGAUCAGCCACACUGGAACUGAGACGCGGUCCAGACUCCUACGGGAGGCAGCAGUGGGGAAUAUUGGACAAUGGGCGCAAGCCUGAUCCAGCCAUACCGCGUGGGUGAAGAAGGCCUUCGGGUUGUAAAGCCCUUUUGUUGGGAAAGAAAAGCAGCAGGUUAAUACCCCGCUGUUCUGACGGUACCCAAAGAAUAAGCACCGGCUAACUUCGUG